CAUGAACCCAUGGAAGUUUUGGACUUCUGGAUUGGAGUGCAGCUUGGUAAGUUUGUGUGUGGAAAAAGCCACACAUUCCAUGAAUGACAUCCAGUUCUGAAGGAACAAAUGGAAACAUAUGUAGAAGAACUCCUGAGGAUGUAUUAUGAGGACAACACCUCAGAAGGUUUUUACCAAGGGUUUAUAAAUUCAUUUUCACUAUACAAUAAAUUGUCAUAGGAUGGUAUCCAAUUUUAGUCACACAUAGAACAAGGUCAGUUAAAUCAAUAGACCUAACUUGGGACUAGGUUGAAAUCUGUGUUGGGAGGUCUAGAAAUCUCAGUGGAUAUUCAACCCAGAAAUAAUGUUUAUCUUUUGUUAUCAACACCACUGAGUUUAAAGAGGAUGUACAGUUUAAGAUGCAAUACUUACUUGGGAGUAAGUCCCAUUGAAUUAGGACUGUAGUAUUAGCAGCUUCGGGAUGUUUGCAUGGCUAUUAAAAAACCCCGCAGCAUUCCUAUAUGCGAUAACUACUUUCCAAUGACAGCUAUCAUUUGGAAACCUCUUGCUGUAACUUUUUUCACAAGUAUUACUUUUGAGACCAGAAAUUAUGUUAUUGGGAAUAUUUUGGCAACAUACUAUAAAAGCAUCAAUAUUUACUAAAUAAUCUACGUGUUACAGUGCAUAUUCUGAUUACAAAAUAUGGGAAGAGUCAGUUUGCCUACUCUGAAGGACUGGCUCCCAUUUGACAAAGGUCAGUUAACAGUAAAAAUCACUUGCUAUAAACUACUACAGGGAUUCUGUUUUUUGGACAAUUGGGAACCUUUAUUGAUCUACCAGUUUUUUAAAAAAAAUCAUACGAAACAGCUCAUCAAGAAGAUUGGACAUUAGAGAUCCAUCUCAGUCUUCUGGGUAAUUCUGUACCACCCCAAAGAGAUCAUGUAUCUUUGUGUGUUAAAAAUAUAAAAAUAAAACCAUUUUAAAAAGCUGGGAGACACAAUCCCAAAUUAGAUUGAAAACUGCAGGAUUCCUGAUUUCCUAAAAGCUUUUGCCACCCAAUUCAAUUUGUGAAUUUGUAGACUGUGGAGUAUAAAAGGCAAGAGUAAGGACUACUACACUUUUCCAAUACUUCAUAUUCCAGACCUGAGCCUCAGUCCAAACUGAACCAGGCAUGUAGGUAGGUUUUUUUGUUUGUUUUUAUGUAUAAAAAAUAAAAGUAACCUAGGAUAUAGCAUUUGGCUAGUUGCACUCAUUUCUGCAAAACUGAUCCCUGCAUCAUCUCCAAGAACAUGAUAAAAUCUCUAAAUUUGUGGCCUGGCAGUGGAAAGAAAAGUUCAUUCUUAUUAAAGUGGUUUUAAAAGAGA